UGUCAGAUUAUGGUAUAUUUCUUGAUUUUAACUCUUUGUAAACGAACUUUAAAUGUCAAAUAUUGAAUAUUUUUACUGUCUCUGUAAACGCACAUGAAAACGAGGGUACGUUUAUGUAAUUGUUUUAUGUUCAUUAAAUUUUAUAUCUAAAAUCUUACAUGUUUAAUGAUAAAAUAAAUAUUAAAAUUAUCGUUAUAAGUUUUAAAUAAGAUUUGGUGUGUUUAAAUUAGUUUAUUUCAAUUGUGAAUUUAGUUAUUUGUGUAUAAAGCUUACUUGUCUGUGAUUGGUCAAUUUUGGCGGGAUAGUAUGACUGUUCGAAAUAAUGUUUUAAAAUAGUCAUGGCACUUUUCUGGUGGACGUUGAGGUGUAGACAACACACGAAAGUUAAGUAUUCUUCCUGAUUUAUACUUUCUUACUAUGAUGUGAUUAUUGUGAUUUUUAUUGUAAUUGUUGUUUAUAUGUAUUAUUGUGCUGAUGUUUAAAAUGUAUAGUAAUCUAUCGCUUUAUACAUGUCUAUAAGAUAUAUUUAUGCUCUACUUGUGUAGUUACCUUGGGUACCGUAUGGAAUUAUUUCUUUAUGAUUUAUAUGAUUUAUGUUCCAAUAGUUUAUAACCAUACAGACAGAAUUGUGUUGCUGGGGAGUUUGUUCCACCACUUCUUCUUCCCAGCAAAAACACAUAGGAAGUGGUGAAGGGUGGGCGUUUUGGGGGCUGUCUAUUGUAAAAUCCUGACGUUCUAAAAGUGCUGUUUUGCAGCCAAGUUUGAAUAAAUGAUUUUUCAUUUCGAUUUGAUUUUGAUCAUAGAAAAUGUUUUAUUUAUUUUUUUAUACCUUUAUGUUUAUUCAUUGCUUCCUACACUUAUUCUUGGGAUUUCAAUAAAUAAAUAAUACAUUAAAUUGCUCUAUUAUGUAUCAAAAUCUAACAUCAGAAGUGGGAUGCCCUGCUUCCAAUUAUAUUUUUUUAACAUAUGGCCAUGUUUCAGGAUGGAUACUGAGACAAUCAUAAUGAUGUGGCGCUUCCAGUCUUUGAUCUGAAAAAAAAAAAGAAAAACGACAACGGUGCUACCAAUGGUGCAACAACAUUGAAACGCUCGCCAAGGAUCUCACCUGGAGUAGCAUAGAAACAGUGGCUAAGGCAGGUAAGGCCCUUAAAGGGUCUGCUUUGAUUUGGUUGGAUCGAACGUUGUGUCUACAGUGGUUUAUGUUGAAUACGGCUUGUAAUCGUUUGUCAGACUGGCCAAGCGGUUUGUUGAAGGUUCAGACUUAACUGUUAAAAAAUCAACAGGUUUUACUCCAAUUCGAUUACUUAUUGGCUGUAAUGCCAAAAUUCCAUCAAUUCACUCUCGCCUUAAUGAUGUUAAUGUUUCUGAACCUAGUAUUGAUGUCAGGGUAGAUCGAGAAUUAGCAUGACAUCGGUUGCAAUCGAAGGCCAUUAAAUUUCAAAAUCGUUUUGAUGCUUAUAGGCGAAAUACUAUAAAUUUUGAGAUUGGAUAUACGGUAUAUGUCAAUAAAAAUCUAGGCGUCAUGACAAACUCGGUCCUAGAUUAAGGGGUAAAUAUACUAUAAUUUGUAUUCUUCCUAAUGAUAGGUAUAUUUUGAGGGGUCUAGGUAAUUCACGAAAUAUUAUUAUUGCUAAGGAUUAAUUAAGAUUAUGGACCGGUGAAUGGGUAGAUGAUAAUGCGUCUGAAUAGUACAAUGUCUGAAUAGUAUAAUGUCUGAAUAGUAUAAUGUCUGAAUAGUAUAAUGUCUGAAUAGUAUAAUGUCUGAAUAGUAUAAUGUCUGAAUAGUAUAAUGUCUGAAUAGUAUAAUGUCUGAAUAGUAUAAUGUCUGAAUAGUAUAAUGUCUGAAUAGUAUAAUGUCUGCAUAGUAGUUUGUAAUGAUUGCUGUUUAUUUUGUCAGUUGCUUAAGAAUAAAUCGAUUAUAUAUAAAAUCAUUGUAUUAACGACUAAUGUGUGGUUUAAUUCUUAUUGUAAUUACAUAAAUAAAUAGUAGACAAGUUACUGUGUAGUUACUGUGAGUGGUUGGAAUGUUAAACUGUAAUUGUUAUUGGUCUACUUAAUGUGAAAAGUGAGGCGGUAACAUUGUUAUACUGUAGUUGUUAUUCGUCUACUUAAUGUGAAAAGUGAGGCGGUAACAAUGUUAUACUAUAGGUGUUAUUCGUCUACUUAAUGUGAAAAGUGAGGCGGUAACAUUGUUAUACUGUAGUUGUUAUUCGUCUACUUAAUGUGAAAAGUGAGGCGGUAACAAUGUUAUACUAUAGGUGUUAUUCGUCUACUUAAUGUGAAAAGUGAGGCGGUAACAUUGUUAUACAGUAGUUGUUAUUCGUCUACUUAAUGUGAGAAGUGAGGCGGUAACAAUGUUAUGCUGUAGUUGUUAUACGUCUACUUAAUGUGAGAAGUGAGGCGGUAACAAAUUGUAUUAGUUUUUAAGUUUCUGUUAUUCGUCUACUUAAUGUGAGAAGUGAGGCGGUAACAAAUUGUAUUAGUUUUUAAGUUUCUGUUAUUCGUCUACUUAAUGUGAGAAGUCAGGCGGUAACAAACUGUAUUAGUUUUUAAGUUUCUGUUAUUCGUCUACUUAAUGUGAGAAGUGAGGCGGUAACAAUGUUAAACUGAAUUCGUUUUUAAGUUUUAAGCAUUACCAAUGUUUUGUAGACAGUAUAAUAUAAAGAGGUACUUCGAGAGCGAAGUACAGGUCAGUAUGGCCGUGUCAGAUUAUGGUAUAUUUCUUGAUUUUAACUCUUUGUAAACGAACUUUAAAUGUCAAAUAUUGAAUAUUUUUACUGUCUCUGUAAACGCACAUGAAAACGAGGGUACGUUUAUGUAAUUGUUUUAUGUUCAUUAAAUUUUAUAUCUAAAAUCUUACAUGUUUAAUGAUAAAAUAAAUAUUAAAAUUAUCGUUAUAAGUUUUAAAUAAGAUUUGGUGUGUUUAAAUUAGUUUAUUUCAAUUGUGAAUUUAGUUAUUUGUGUAUAAAGCUUACUUGUCUGUGAUUGGUCAAUUUUGGCGGGAUAGUAUGACUGUUCGAAAUAAUGUUUUAAAAUAGUCAUGGCACUUUUCUGGUGGACGUUGAGGUGUAGACAACACACGAAAGUUAAGUAUUCUUCCUGAUUUAUACUUUCUUACUAUGAUGUGAUUAUUGUGAUUUUUAUUGUAAUUGUUGUUUAUAUGUAUUAUUGUGCUGAUGUUUAAAAUGUAUAGUAAUCUAUCGCUUUAUACAUGUCUAUAAGAUAUAUUUAUGCUCUACUUGUGUAGUUACCUUGGGUACCGUAUGGAAUUAUUUCUUUAUGAUUUAUAUGAUUUAUGUUCCAAUAGUUUAUAACCAUACAGACAGAAUUGUGUUGCUGGGGAGUUUGUUCCACCACUUCUUCUUCCCAGCAAAAACACAUAGGAAGUGGUGAAGGGUGGGCGUUUUGGGGGCUGUCUAUUGUAAAAUCCUGACGUUCUAAAAGUGCUGUUUUGCAGCCAAGUUUGAAUAAAUGAUUUUUCAUUUCGAUUUGAUUUUGAUCAUAGAAAA
rnacentral:lncRNA from 1 species